CUACUGAGGUUUGAUUGGAUAUGGACAUUGUUUAUUUCAGAAGGAAAAUGUUUGGAGUGGAAUUGUUUGGAAGACAAUCUUGGGACAAUUUUGCUCUUUGGGUCUUUGUGCCAACCAUGCCAGCUAUCGUAGGGUGCUCUGGGAACUUCUUAGAUCUGUUUACUGUAUGUACACUUACUGAAAUAAGCAUUUUGUUUACAUAAAAUCCCUUGUCAUUUCACCACUAGGUUUGAAACCCAGACAGCACGAAGCAUCUUGCCGACGUCAAAAUCAGAUCAACAGACAGGGACAUCAGCCUUCUCUUGGGAAUAGGCCAGAUAUGCCAUAACAAGAAAUGGUGUUUUGCCCCUGCGGUUGUGAAGAGGAUGCUGUGGAGGUGGCAGCAUGAACGUGUCACACAGACAUUGGCUAAACUACUCGGCUUCUACACUUGCCCUCAGAGUUCACAUAUGGUGAAGUGCACAGGUGUCCAGUCAGGUUCAGACUGAUGCUGGUAACAAGAGGAAAACAUGCUAAUUGAUGACCUUUCCAGCAUGUCCAACUCAUCAGCAUCAGGGGAGGAGAGUCGGUGAAGGUGGUGCACCAUCCAGGACCAGUCAUGGGCCACCAACACCUCUGCAAAAUCUGCACUUCUUGUGAACCCUCUAGAAGACACUACAACCACAAAACUGCUAAUAAACCAUCACAUACUACAUCA